AUGUUAGAUUAGCCAUGCAUGUCUCAGUAUAAGCUUCUAUACGGCGAAACUGCGAAUGGCUCAUUAAAACAGUUAUAGUUUAUUUGGUGGUCAGCAAUUACAUGGAUAACCGUGGUAAUUCUAGAGCUAAUACAUGCGCCCAAACCCGACUUCGUGGAAGGGUUGUGUUUAUUAGAUACAGAACCAACCCAGGCUCCGCCUGGCCUUGAGGUGAUUCAUAAUAACCGAACGAAUCGCAUGGCUAUGCCGGCAAUAGACCAUUCAAGUUUCUGACCUAUCAGCUAUCGUCGGUAGGGUAUUGGCCUACCGUGGCAAUGACGGGUAACGGAGAAUUAGGGUUCGAUUCCGGAGAGGGAGCCUGAGAAACGGCUACCACAUCUAAGGAAGGCAGCAGGCGCGCAAAUUACCCAAUCCUGACGCAGGGAGGUAGUGACAAGAAAUAACAAUACAGGGCAUACAUGUCUUGUAAUUGGAAUGAGUAAACUUUAAAUCACUUUACG
rnacentral:rRNA from 1 species